UCUUAUGAGUGAUAUAUAUAUAUAUAUAUAUAUAUAUAUAUAUAUAUUUUAAUCUACAGAAACAUCUUAAACAUAAACAUCUACGAUAUGAAUCAAACAAAAAAUUUGAGGAUCAUCAACUCAUAUUUGGAUGUGGCUUAGCUACCGGUGGUUCCGCAAUUGGAAUAGGUGAUACCACUGAAGCUCGAAGAUUUAUUGGGGAGAGUAAAAGAGUGAGAGAUAACAUUAACUGUGAUGAAGCUUUCGAACAUUCAUGUCAAGAUCCAUCAUGGUCAAGAGAAUGUGAUAUAUCACCACCCUUUCAAGGCACAAAUCCAAAAGGACGGAUGGAAAAACUUCCUUCAAGGAAGAGGCCUAGAACCUUAGCUAUUAGCAAUGUGGAUAAGCUGAAAAUUGAUAAGGAGGAUCCUAUGAUCAUAGUUAGUAAUAGGAUCCUUAAUGUCAUACAACAAAGAGAAGAACGACAACAAAGAGAAGCUGAGAGAAAAUCUAAGACGGGAAGCUGAGGAAAAACAAGGGACUGUAUAUCAUGGAUCACACGAUUGGGAAGAGGAUGAAUCUCAUCAUGAAGAUGACGAAUCAGAAAUAGACAUUUUGGUAUUACAACGAUAAUAUACGACAAGAGCUUACUGUAUGAACAAACGUAUUGAGUGGUCAAUUCAUAAGCCUAUCACAAGAAUGGCUACAUUUACCUCAAGAAACUUCUUAAGAGAGAUCAUAAACGCUUUCGAGAGUAAAAAUUUUCACAAAGUUUUUGAUACAUUAAACAUGAUUGCACCAAGUUGGAUGGUCAAACCUGGACUCACAGUUCCUGCAAAAAUAAGAGAA